AGUGAACGCUGGCGGUAGGCCUAACACAUGCAAGUCGAACGGCAGCACAGUAAGAGCUUGCUCUUACGGGUGGCGAGUGGCGGACGGGGGAGGUAUACAUCGGAAUCUACUUUUUCGUGGGGGAUAACGUAGGGAAACUUACGCUAAUACCUCAUACGACCUACGGGUGAAAGCAGGGGAUCUUCGGACCUUGCGCGAUCGAAUGAGCCGAUGUCGGAUUAGCUAGGUGGCGGGGUAAAGGCCCACCAAGGCGACGAUCCGUAGCUGGUCUGAGAGGAUGACCAGCCAGAGUGGGAGUGAGACACGGUCCAGACUGCGACGGGAGGCAGACGUCGGGAGUAUGGGACAAUGGGCGCAAGCCUGAUACAGCCAUACCGCGUGGGUGAAGAAGGCCUUCGGGUUGUAAAGCCCUUUUGUUGGGAAAGAAAAGCAGCAGGUUAAUACCCUGCUGUUCUGACGGUACCCAAGGAAUAAGCACCGGCUAACUUCG
rnacentral:rRNA from 1 species